GGUGCCCGGGGACGUGGAGAGACUCGGGAAGGUGCGGAAAAGAGGGGCCCUGCGCUGGCCCGGCUGUUGAAGAGCCUCGCCCAGCCGACCCCGGGUGCCCACGAUAGCCGAACCCAGGGUGGGGAUCCUGGUUAUCGUCAUCCCUCCUGCAGCCUCGAUGGGCGUUGAUUUCCUCUGUUACCAGAGAAAAACAACUUAACUGAGAGAUGGGAAAAAUGUAUUCCCUUGUGAUGGGAAAAAUGUAUUCAACUCCUGUACACUGUGCCAAAUUGGCUUCUUUAAACACUGGAGAAACCUGCUUCCCCAAAUUUUACUCCCAGGUGAGCAGAAAUUUUGAAAAUCUCUGUGUCUUUAAAAAGCUAUGUUGAAGAGUAAAAUACUUAGUAAUAUUUAGUACAAUAUUUAAAAAGUCACUGACUAGUUUGUCAUUGUAAUCAAAUAGUUUGAAUGAUUUCUACACCUCCUCAGGUACUAGGAUUUAUCUUUAAGCACCUUGAUAUAUAUAAAUACUAUAUAAGUUAUCAGCUUUUGAUUUUUUUCCAGUACAACUACAUAUAAUGGGUGGAUAUAUAAAAGUGGAAACUUCACAUAUUGUUCUUGAUCUUACAACAGUAUGAUAAGAAUCUUGGGCAUAAAAGUGGAAUUUUUGCAGUUCAUUGGAAAAGAAAGCCACAAAUUGAUCUUUAGCACCCUAUACUUUUCCUAUGUUAAACUUAAAACAAUUGUAAA